CUGGAUUGACCAGAAGAGGUAGCAGCAAUGCUGUUAAAGAAAGUUUGCUGACAAGCUCAGGAGGAGUUUCAUAAAGGGCACUGGGAUCCUCACUGUCAAGUUCCUGGAUUGAUGAGAGCUGUAGCACACAAUACUAUGCACAUGCUCAAGUAGGUACAUAAGUGUGAUAUUGAAGGCAAGAAAGAAGACAAAGCUCUGCGGAUGAGAGAGAGAGAGACAAGGAUGAGAUUGGCAGCCUCAGACCCUCGCGUGGAACAAACCACCUCACAGCUUUCACUGUGGCACACAGGCUGCCCAGCUUCCCAGUGAGCCAGCGUGAGU
rnacentral:lncRNA from 1 species